UUACCCAAUUCUUAUCCAAAUUCGACUCUGUGAACUAGUAUAGAAACAAUUGUAUUGGUCAAACAGACUCGAUAUGUAUUAGCGAAGAUGUGGCCCGACAUUUCAUUAGUGGUAGGAGUGUCUUGAGUACAAGUCCGGAAGUAAAUACGGUGGUUGCAUUCUAAUGCUCUGCCCUCUUAGGCUUGGGGGAAUCGCCAGCAGUGUUAAAGCCCAGGCACAGCAAAAACGAAAGAAAGCAUACAGAGGUGAAAGAAAGAUUCUGAGAAAAAAAAAAUAGAAUAUCAGCAGAGCUGGUGGGAAUAAGAACAUCUGCAUAGCAUGCCCUGCCAUCAGCUGGGUAUCAGUCGAAAGAGUCCUAUAAAAUAAAAACAAUUUUCUGUUGUCUUUUUCUGCCCAAGCAAUCUCCCUCGUCAUCCCAUAACGCAUAGAGCUGAGACGAAAGUACACAUCAGAAGCGGGAAGAAAAAUAAAAAUAAAAAAAUACAAAGAAAAAAAAUUCCCCGUUUAACUCAGUCGUUCAAAGAUUGCCUUUUGAAGGAAACGCCACUCCCUCCGUAGCCUGAGUAUCUGUAAACCAGCUCACUUUCUCCGCACCAGCGGCAUUCACCAAAGCGCAUGGCAGACUCCUCCCGUCCUCUGUAUCAAAGAUCCGCCUCAUGAUGUCCUUCUUCCCUCCACC
rnacentral:sRNA from 1 species